rnacentral:rRNA from 1 species
GUGUCAGCCGCCGCGGUAAUACGUAGGGGGCGAGCGUUGUCCGGAAUUACUGGGCGUAAAGGGUGCGUAGGUGGCCUUUUAAGUUGGAUGUGAAAUACCCGGGCUUAACCUGGGGGGUGCAUCUAAUACUGGAAGGCUAGAGUGCAGGAGAGGAAAGCGGAAUUCCUAGUGUAGCGGUGAAAUGCGUAGAUAUUAGGAGGAACACCAGUGGCGAAGGCGGCUUUCUGGACUGUAACUGACACUGAGGCACGAAAGCGUGGGGAGCAAACAGGAUUAGAAACCCGCGUAGUCC